AGUGAACGCUGGCGGCAGGCCUAACACAUGCAAGUCGAACGGCAGCACAGGAGAGCUUGCUCUCUGGGUGGCGAGUGGCGGACGGGUGAGGAAUACAUCGGAAUCUGCCUAUUUGUGGGGGAUAACCUCGGGAAACCGGGACUAAUACCGCAUACGACCUACGGGUGAAAGCAGGGGACCUUCGGGCCUUGCGCAGAUAGAUGAGCCGAUGUCGGAUUAGCUAGUUGGAGGGGUAAUGGCCCACCAAGGCGACGAUCCGUAGCUGGUCUGAGAGGAUGAUCAGCCACACUGGGACUGAGACACGGCCCAGACUCCUACGGGAGGCAGCAGUGGGGAAUAUUGGACAAUGGGCGAAAGCCUGAUCCAGCCAUGCCGCGUGAGUGAAGAAGGCCCUCGGGUUGUAAAGCUCUUUUGUUGGGAAAGAAAAGCAAUCGGUUAAUACCCGGUUGUUCUGACGGUACCCAAAGAAUAAGCACCGGCUAACUUCGUGCCAGCAGCCGCGGUAAAAC
rnacentral:rRNA from 1 species